rnacentral:rRNA from 1 species
UACAGAGGGCGCGAGCGUUGUCCGGAAUCACUGGGCGUAAAGGGCGCGUAGGUGGCCACUAUAAGGCCGCGGUGAAAGUUCGGGGCUCAACCCUGAAUCUGCCGCGGCGACUGUAGGGCUAGGGCACCGUAGAGGCAGAUGGAAUUCCGGGUGUAGCGGUGGAAUGCGUAGAGAUCCGGAAGAACACCGGUGGCGAAGGCGGCAUUCUGGACCGAUAUUGACGCUGAGGAGCGAAAGCCAGGGGAGCAAACGGG